rnacentral:rRNA from 2 species
GGAGGAAGGUGGGGAUGACGUCAAGUCAUCAUGGCCCUUACGACCAGGGCUACACACGUGCUACAAUGGCGCAUACAAAGAGAAGCGACCUCGCGAGAGCAAGCGGACCUCAUAAAGUGCGUCGUAGUCCGGAUUGGAGUCUGCAACUCGACUCCAUGAAGUCGGAAUCGCUAGUAAUCGUGGAUCAGAAUGCCACGGUGAAUACGUUCCCGGGCCUUGUACACACCGCCCGUCACACCAUGGGAGUGGGUUGCAAAAGAAGUAGGUAGCUUAACCUUCGGGAGGGCGCUUACCACUUUGUGAUUCAUGACUGGGGUGAAGUCGUAACAAGGUAACCGUAGGGGAACCUGCGGUUGGAUCACCUCCUUACCUUAAAGAAGC